CCUACGGGUGGCAGCAGUGAGGAAUAUUGGUCAAUGGCCGGAAGGCUGAACCAGCCAUUCCGCGUGAAGGUCAGUGCCCUAUGGGCGUUAAACUUCUUUUGUGCGGGAGCAAUAAUGGUCACGUGUGGCCAGACGAGAGUACCGUACGAAUAAGCAUCGGCUAACUCCGUGCCAGCAGCCGCGGUAAUACGGGGGAUGCAAGCGUUAUCCGGAUUUAUUGGGUUUAAAGGGUGCGUAGGCUGUGAGGUAAGUCAGCGGUGAAAUGCCCCCGCUCAACGGGGUGAAGUGCCAUUGAUACUGCCUGGCUGGAAUGCGGAUGCCGUGGGAGGAAUGUGUGGGGUAGCGGUGAAAUGCAUAGAUAUCACACAGAACACCGAUUGCGAAGGCAUCUCACGAAUCCGCGAUUGACGCUGAUGCACGAAAGCGUGGGUAUCAAACAGGAUUAGAUACCCUAGUAGUC
rnacentral:rRNA from 1 species